rnacentral:rRNA from 1 species
UACGGGGGGAGCAAGCGUUGUUCGGAUUUACUGGGCGUAAAGGGCGCGUAGGCGGUCAGCACAAGUCAGUUGUGAAAUCUCCGGGCUUAACUCGGAAAGGUCAACUGAUACUGUGCGACUAGAGUGCAGAAGGGGCAACUGGAAUUCUCGGUGUAGCGGUGAAAUGCGUAGAUAUCGAGAGGAACACCUGCGGCGAAAGGCGGGUUGCUGGGCUGACACUGACGCUGAUGCGCGAAAGCCAGGGGAGCGAACGGG